UACAAUAUCAUUACUACGGUCAUUUCUCUCUCUCUCUCUCUCUCUCUCAUCCACCGCCACACACAAACCCACUUUUUCUCUCUAAAUGCAAAAUUCUAAUGUAGAGAGCAGCAACUCUGUGUGCAACUCCGUCGAUUCCGAUGCCCCGCUCUCCGUCGACAGCCCAUUCUCCGCCGGCGAAGCUGACGUAUCUUUCAUCUGAGUUCUAGGGUUUUUCAUUCGCUCCACCAAUUAGGAACACUUUUUUCAAUAUAAUUCUGAAGACGAAGCAAGCAUAGUUACAGAAACUCCAUAUCCCCAAGUAUAGAUAGGGUGUUCUAUUUCCGGCUUUGUUUGUGAUCGGAGGUAAACAUACGCAAAGCAUACCCUUUUGCGGGAGGGUAGUAUAUCUAGGGUUUUGAUAGAAUUAAGGCAUGGCUCCAGGUCGUAAACGUGGAGCUAAAGGAGUGAAGUCAAUGAGCGAGUUGAGUCUGGGUGAUCUUGUCCUUGCUAAGGUUAAAGGCUUCCCUGCUUGGCCUGCUAAGAUUAGCAAACCAGAAGAUUGGGAUCGAGCUCCUGAUCCUAAAAAGUAUUUUGUCCAGUUCUUUGGUACACAGGAAAUAGCAUUUGUCGCCCCAGCAGAUAUUACGGCAUUUACCAUUGAUGUUAAAAAUAAAGUGUCAGCACGAUGUCAGGGUAAAACAGUAAAACAUUUUGCCAAAGCAGUGAAGCAAAUCUGUGAAGAAUUUGAAGAGUUACAGAAGAAAGAUUCCAGUGUUUCAGGAGAUGAGGCCUAUAAAACAGCUCCAGGCUGUGUUGUAGCUUCUGUUGAAAGGGUGACUGCUGCUGCUGAGUUGGACCAAAUGGACAGAGAAAAGAAGUGUAAGCAAGAAACAGAUAUCAAAAGCUUAGUAGAGGGAUCUGGGUUAGAGCGCUGCUCGAUGAUAAAAGAUGAUACAACUGAUAUCAUUUCUCAUGAUUCAGAGGUUAAUUUGCCUCCUUCAAUUUCAUCUAUAAAGAAGGUUUCAAUUCCCAGUAGGAUUUCUAAUUCAAGAAAGGAGUUGGCUUCAUUGCCUAAUCCCGAAAGCACUCAUGAUAACCUAAGUGAGGACAACAGAGAUCCCGAGGAGCAUGAUAAGCAAUUGAUCCACAAGGAGAACUUGAGAUCUGCUGAGAGGAGUCAUUUUCCUGAUGCAGAUUUUCCUCCUCCUACAUCAUCUGCUGAUGUGAAGCAGCUUGAUGGUGGUCAGAAGCAACUGACAAAUGGACACAAAGCAAAGCUGGCGAAGAGGAAAGCUGGGGGUGGACAUGAAGUGCAAAGAAUUAGUGAUACUGCCAGUGAUCUGACUGUUAAAACAGCAAGUGCAAAAAAAUUAGUGCCAGAGGUUAAGUCAGGUACUGAUGGUAGAAAAAAGGUAAAAAGACAGAAUGAUAGAAAACCUGAGACAGUGGAUGCUGUUCUCAGCCAUAUAGAGGAGAAAAAAUUUCAGUCUAGCAAGAAAUUGAAAGCUGAACCUGGACAGAUGUUGCGACGUAAUGAAAUAGCAGAUCCCUCUAAGAAGAUCAAAUGUGCUGAUGGGGCAAUGGAUGCCGUUAUGGUGAGCAAAAUUUAUGAUGAAGCUAAAGUGGUGAAAUCAGAGGUUAAAAAAUCAAUACCACUGGGAAAAGCCGAGGGUCACACUUCGCUGAAAUUGCAUGAAGGUGCUAUUGGUUCAAAUAAUUGUGGUGAAGAAGAUACUCUCCCACCGUCAAAGCGCCAUCGACGGGCAAUGGAGGCUAUGUCUAGCUCCUCUCCUGUUCCUCAACUUCCUACUAAGCGGAGAGCUGUCCGUUUGUGUGUGGAUAAUGAAAAUGAAGAGCCUAAAACUCCAAUUCAUGGAGGAUCUAUUAAGAGAGAUGCUAUUUCUCGUGGCCCCAAUUUGGUGAAGAAGCCUGACCUAUCUACUGGAACAGCUAGUAAUGACCAACUGAGUGUGAAAGACUCAGGCACAAUUGAGGAUAGCUCUAUCAAGGAGCAUGCACCAUCUGUCAGACUACACAAAGAACUUUCUGUGCGUGUUCCUCAGAAAAAUGUGGAGAAAAAGCGUAUACCUACUGAUAGAAGUGUUUCAUGUAGUCCUGGGAAAUUUGGAACUCCAAAAACUUCUAGGGAAGGUAAAACUGAUAUUGUAUCCCCCAAAAAAUCCCCUGGGUUCACUGACAAACCAGUCUCAGAGCCGCAAAAAGGUGCUAAACUACCUGGUAAACCCCAGGGUGAUCAUAGAAAGUUGGUAGCUGAAUUUAAUACAGGCAAUAUUAUUGGUGCUGAUAACUUAAAUCCUUUUCGUGAUCAACCUAUUAAUGAAAGAAGUAAGAUGGUUUCUACUAGUGAAAGGAAAAAAACAACCCCAAGGUCUAGUUCCUUGAUGACUGAACCUACUCUUGUGCCUGGUAAUGCUGUUGAAAGCAUGUCUACACGGUUAGAAAGGCUGGAAGCUGUGAGAGAUGAGAAGCUUAAUUCUUUGAUAGAUUCUAAAGUUCUGGACCAGGAUAUGUCCAUGAAACAUCUUAUAGCAGCUGCCCAGGCUAAAAGGCGGCAAGCUCACUUGCAGAGCAUUUAUGGUAAUACCCUUGCUGCUGUGGCCCCCUAUACUGAACCACAGGGAGGGAGCCCCCAUCCAACUCUUGGUUCUCAACCAUUAAGCUCUGGCAUGCUGCAUCCUGAAAUACAAGUUUUAUUUUCUCGCUCAUCUCCUUCAUCUGAGAUUCAGCAGUUUUCAUCGAUAAAUCCACCUGAGCCUGAAGAAAAUGAGGAGAAGAGAGUAAUUUCAGGACUGGGGGCCUCUGGGGGCUCACUCAGUGGUGGCACUGAGGCAGCUGUUGCUCGUGAUGCUUUUGAAGGAAUGAUAGAAACAUUAUCACGGACCAAAGAGAGUAUUGGACGUGCAACCCGUCUAGCUAUUGAUUGUGCAAAGUAUGGCAUUGCUAAUGAGGUCGUGGAACUUCUUACCCGGAAGUUGGAAAAUGAACCUAGCUUUCAUCGCAGGGUGGACCUGUUCUUUUUGGUGGAUUCUAUAACUCAGUGCUCUCAUAGUCAUAAAGGCAUAGCAGGAGCAUCAUAUAUUCCUGCUGUUCAAGCUGCAUUACCUCGUCUUUUGGGAGCUGCUGCUCCACCAGGAGUGGGUGCCCGGGAAAAUCGUCGUCAAUGUCUCAAGGUUUUGCGAUUAUGGCUUGAGAGGAAAAUAUAUCCUGAUUCUCUUCUUCGUCGUCAUAUGGAUGAUAUUGGUACGACGAAUGAUGAUUCGUCUGGUGGUUUGUCCUUUAGACGGCCAUCUCGAGCUGAGCGUGCUAUUGAUGAUCCUAUUAGAGAGAUGGAAGGCAUGCUUGUUGAUGAGUAUGGCAGCAAUGCUACAUUCCAGUUGCCUGGAUUUUUAUCUUCUCACGUUUUUGAUGAGGAGGAAGAAGAAGAUGCUCUUCGUGAUUUGCAAAACGAACCUGCUGAGGAAUUAGCAGUAGAGCAUACACCUGCAACAGGUGAUAAUGCUGAGAGAUAUGUGGUCACUCCUAGUGACAGACGUCAUUGUAUCUUGGAGGAUGUGGAUGGCGAGCUUGAAAUGGAAGAUGUUUCUGGUCACCCAAAAGAUGAAAGACCUUUGUUUGGAGAUGAUGUGAACCAGUCUGGCUCAGAUCGAACCCUGGAAUCAGCUUUAGAUAAUAUAUCUGAUUUGCCGCCUCUUCCUAUGGGAUCCCCACCAUUACCUCCUUGUUCUCCUCCACCCACCCCACCUUUGCCUUCCUCUCCCCCUCCAUCACCGGUGCCACCUCCACUUCCAUUAUCUCCAUUGCCACCACCGCCACCACCACCACCACCACCACCACCACUUCCUCCAUCACAACCCCCACUACCUCCAUCUCAGCCACAUCCUUUCCCUCCACUGCCCGCUGGACCACCUCCGCUGAUGUUCCCUCAACCUUCUUUUCCACUCCAACAUGAAGUAGGGACAAAACACUUACACUCCCUCACUCCAUCAGUACCAUCACCAUCACCUGUAGUGGCAUAUGCGCAACCUCCUCUUCCAAACGAAGUCGGUAGCAUACCUAGUGGUCAUCGGUUACCACAGGUAGCUGGAAACAUGCUUCAUGGUCCUCGUAUCAAUGCAUCUAGUAGGAAUGAGGUAUUCCCAUUGCAAUCACCUUCUUUUACACCAGCAGGAGUUAGUAAUUCACGGGAAUCUUCUGGAUAUAGUUCGCGGCCUUUGGAAUAUGGUUACAACGAUGCAUAUAUAAACCCACCAGUUUGUCAGUCCACUCAGAAAUUUCAAUCUGGUAAUGCGGCUUUUGCCCCAAGGCCCAUGCAUCUUAACCCUCCACAUCAAAUCCCCUCCAAUAGUUUUUCGUAUCCAAGGGCCCCAGUGCAGCAACAUCCACAGCAAGCAUAUCCUGCACCAUGCUCAUUACCAGAGCGCCCUGAUGGAUCAAGGCGUCAUAUUGGUGAUGAACAGUGGAGGGUUCAACCCAAUGAGUUCAAUGGUGACCAUCAGCGUGGUAUGUGGAUUGGUGCAGGAAGAUCAUGCCCUGGUCCAACUAUUGCUCAAGAAGGUUAUUUCAGACCUCCUGAUAGACCACCUGUGAGUAAUGUUGGAUUCCAGCCUUCUGGAUCAAAUGCUUUCCCUACUGGUCCUCCAAUUUCAGGUCAUGGAAUGCCUUGCCGACCGGAUGUAACUGUCCUCAGCUGGAGGCCAGCAUGAGAGUCGUUGGCAGUUGGUUUGAUCUUCGUAUCUAAUGGUGGCUCAAGUAGGAUACAGGACUGACAUCUGGAAAAAAGACAGUCAUUAGAGCAAUUGCUGUUAAGUUGGGUGACCCUCGGCAGGAUUUUGUACUAUUGUAAUUUUCCUGACAAAUGCAUUUCAAGACACAUACUUAACAAAGUGUAUUUACAGAAGAUAGCUAGUCAGAAUGCAACAUUGUAGCCCUUUAUUGGUCAGCAGUACAAUAAGAUCUAAUUGAUCCUGCCAGAUUGUUCUGCUGCAAAAUUCUGAGGUAAUUGUGUAGUCAGAUGCCUGAACUGUAGCAGUGCCACUGCUUCCUUUUUUGUCCGUUCACCACAAAAUGGUGGUCAUUUUUUGUGAAAGAACAUUUGCAGUUCAUAUGUUUUUUUUGUUUUUUUUUUUUUAAAGUAAGAAGAGUUAUGUAAAAUUUUCAUGUAUAUCUGUUGUCGGAUGGAGUAACAAUUUUGGGAAAAAAGGUAAUUGUGUAUAUAAUUCGAAAUAUUAUAUGAGUAAGUAGGAUAUCUACAAUAUUCAUCCCUCCCACCCUCAAAUCUUUGUACUAUGCUGUUGAUUGACCAAUUGACAUCGUGCAAUCUGCUUUAAUAAAGGAAUUUUUUCAUGGGACUUUUCAGCAGUGAUUUUGUGCAGUGGAUGUUAAUGUUACACACAUCUGAACUUCAUUAACUGCACUGUUUAUGGACAUUGACUGGCGUACAUGUCCAAACCGUGAUGUUGUAUUUGGAUGUUUGGAUCUGAAGUUUUCUUGAUAUUAUAAUCAGUUUUAGGAGACAAUGGUAACUUUUGGGUUAUGUUUUUUAAAAUUUGGAGUGCUCUGACUCAAUCUCACUGCUGUUGAGGUGCCUGAACAUUUAAUCAUAAGCUGACAGUCCGAUGAUCUGUGCUUAUCUUGAAAGAACAUGGAACAUGGGUUUAGCCAUUAAAGAUCACGACUUCUGGUGAAGAUGAAGGGGAUGGCCCAAGAGAAUUGAGAAAGGAGAGAUGUUAAGGUUGUGGAUGGUGGGAAAGCAAAUUGGAGAGUAUUUCAUCUGUGUUGACCUACUUGAAAAAAUGAGAAGAUUAGCUGGGCUAGAAAAUUUACUGUUUCGUGGUAAUUGGUGAAGACUAGCUUCUUGAAAGCUUUACCGGAGGUGCAUUUUAUCUGCUUGAGAUUUCCUGGAAAUUAAUCUUUUGGUGCCAAGGAAGGGCAGAAAAAUGAAAAAUGAAAUUGUAGGAAAUUGUUUUGCUGUAUGUGUUUUCAUUUUUUUUUUUGUGAUAAUACAUGUGAAGUGGAAGAACGGUGUAGCUGAGGUGGACAAUAUUCAAUGCUUGGACCCAGAUUAACAGAAAACAGUGCUCUGGAGUAAACGUCAAAUGUCAAUGCUUCUAAAAGGGUCAUGCAUUCAUCAAGACAAAGUGGUAUGGACGUUUUCUACUUGUGUUGAAGUUGAAGCAAAUAAAUUAUGGGUAUUUUAUCAAACAAUGAUUAUGAUUGGAAUCUGUUGUCGUGAUAUUGUUGUGAAAGCAUUUUUAGUUUAAGUAGGUGCUGAUUUGUGUUUAUAGUUGUCGUAUUCUGCAUAUUACUAAAAAAGAAACGGAGGACAGAACCAAUAUGUAUUUAUACCUAUCAACUCACUUGCCCCUUAUCCAAUAUUUGUGAUGUCACUCUCAGGCA